rnacentral:tRNA from 1 species
GAAGAUUUAGUAUAGGUUUUGUAUUAUCCAUUGUCUGUGGUUGGGUUUAGUCUUUU